rnacentral:rRNA from 1 species
AGUGAACGCUGGCGGCAGGCCUAACACAUGCAAGUCGAGCGGCAGCGGGUCCUUCGGGCUGCCGGCGAGCGGCGGACGGGUGAGGAAUACAUCGGAAUCUGCCCUGUCGUGGGGGAUAACCUAGGGAAACUUAGGCUAAUACCGCAUACGACCUACGGGUGAAAGCGGGGGAUCGCAAGACCUCGCGCGACAGGAUGAGCCGAUGUCCGAUUAGCUAGUUGGCGGGGUAAAGGCCCACCAAGGCGACGAUCGGUAGCUGGUCUGAGAGGAUGAUCAGCCACACUGGGACUGAGACACGGCCCAGACUCCUACGGGAGGCAGCAGUGGGGAAUAUUGGACAAAGGGCGCAAGCCUGAUCCAGCCAUGCCGCGUGGGUGAAGAAGGCCUUCGGGUUGUAAAGCCCUUUUGUCCGGGAAGAAAUCGUCUGGGCUAAUACCCCGGGCGGAUGACGGUACCGGAAGAAUAAGCACCGGCUAACUUCGUG